AAAGAUGGACAUAGGUAACCUGACAAUGUGAUCCAAGCUUCCGACAAGAACAAUCUCACCGAAGCUGAACCCUUGCAGCGCCUCCGUCGCUCUAAGCUCGAUCUGUAUGUCUCGGGUUCCCUGCGGCUGCACUGUGAACGACGAGGGCUCGAGGCAAACGCGGACCCCUCUCGGCUGACGCACAGAGCUCAGGUACGUCUCCGGCACGCCCCCCACAUUCUUGACUCUUCGUCUCACCACUUGGAGCCCUCUCAGGGAAGCAACGGUGAUUGACGGAAGAUUCAAGUCCGCCGGAGAAGACUCGGCGGCGCCGCAAGCUCUGCCGGUGGUCCUCCUCUUCACCAUCUCCCGGUCCACGCUCGGCGAGGAGCACAGAAAGCUAAGGUAGUCUCCGAACCCUGCCACAUUAUUCUAGGGAGAUCAGCGUCCAUCUGAGUCGAAUUUUAAUGGGGAGGGGGGGGUCUGCCACGUAGCUUUUUCUUAAUCGUUUUACCAGCAGGGAAUACCAAUCCUGGAUCGAGAGCUCUGGAAGGGCUCACGAGGCCUGCCCCACGGUCAAAGGGGGUGGAGGGAUGCAGGCUUCCGGGAUCUGGCCCUUGGGACAUGAUGGGGUUCCCGUGGCCGUCGUAGCCUGACGCUGUGGUGGAAAUGGCGGAGGCGAUCUCAGAAGGGUCCCAUGCAGGCUUGGACUGCCUCACAAGGGCGGCUAUCCCCGCUACGUGAGGGGCUGCUAUGCUCGUACCUGAUAGCAGCGCAAAAUCCUCACCUGCAGGGUCUCCUCCAUUGGUUGCCAAAGCCAAAUAAAGUAAGCCGGCCGCCGAAAGACGAAGGUCAGCGAUCUCUCAGCCGUUGGGCUCACCUCGGAGUAUGGGUUCGAGGGCGCUGAUGGGGCUCCAAGCCCCCCAGAUUUGGCUCCCCGGGGCCAGUAUAUCGGGCUUCAGAACGUCAACUGGGCUCAUUCGACGGUCAACGACAUCCGGCCCUCUUGAUGAGAACCUGGCCACCACGGGAGCUCCCCCGCCGAAGGCGGCGAUUCUCCCUUCCCCGAUCGAUGCCCUGCCGCCGUACCUCGUCGCCGUCCCUCCCGGGCCUCGACGCGUGCUCCUCUCGUAGUAAUCCAGCAGAAUCUACAACCAUUUGGAAGCUGUGAUGCAUGUCGGGGCACUAUCAAGCCUUCUCUCCCCAUGUUUACCUGUGCGUCAGAAACCUUGGGGAUCAUAAUGCCGGGCACAGUGAAGGGUAGCGGCUCGGCGGCGAGGUCUCCGAGGGCUGGGUUAGCCACCAGUAUAAACCCUGCAAGACCCAGCGCCUUGGCCGUGUUCAGAGCAGAGGUCACCGUUGAGCUCCCAUUGAAGAAGCCAGCCGAGAAGUUGCAGAUCACAAGGGCUCCUCGCACAACGUCAGGCUGCAGUGCCUCGGCAUGCUGGCAUUCCUCGGCGUAGGCUGGGCUUGUCCGAGAGCCUCUCGGUUUGGCGACGGCAUCUCUGGCCGCCACCAGCGGCUUGAAUGGGCGGCCGUCGCUGAAAGAGGGUCCUGGAAUGGAAGUGAAUAUUAGAGUCCAUCGCUACAUAGACGUCUCUUGGGGUUAAUUUUAGGUCAAUCGAACAAAUAAUGAG
rnacentral:lncRNA from 1 species